GGGCUUUCCCGGAUCGCCUGCCAAGAGAAGGAGGGGCACGGUAGUGGAUCCUACACCCUCUUCUUGUUUCUCUACUAACUGCACUAUGCUUCAGAACCCUGUAAAAGGGCAAAGUCGGAGGGGAAGUGCCCCUGAGGACAACUGGGACGUUAUAGGGUUGUAGAAACUGGUGCCUUGGAUAUAGAAGAAGGAGGGCAGUCCGAAGUCUCUUGCUGGCCGCCUUCGGCACCAACUGGGCGGCUCAGAACUCCAUCCCAAAGUUCAGAGUUGGGCCAUGGCUCCUUUGGGUCUCCCCAGUCCACACCUGCAGGGUAGGGUUAGGCAAAUCCCUCUCAGGAACACCAAUCUGCUCCACACCCUUCCCAACUUAACUUGAGCUGGGUUGGCCUGGGCCUGUGCCAAGCUCACAGCUGCCCUCCUCCAGUCUUGAAGGGCCAUCCAGGUUGCUCCUUCCUUAGCUGGGCAUUAAUAAUAAGAGGGACAAAGUUCAGAGUGAUGGUGACUAAGAUGUGUUCAGCUACUUCUUAAUUCCCUCUCUCUUGAGUCUCCAGCCAGCUGAGAGGCAGGCAAGGGGAGUCUCCACAUGCAGAGGAGGCAGCUGGGUCCAGAAUGGCACCAGAACCAGUCCAGGGGCCCAUGAAGAGGGCUCUGGCCUAGGAGUCCUGGGCCGAGCUCUGCCCCAUCCUGCUGAGAGGAGACAUGAGGAAAGGUCAGCACUUGGACUCAGACCCAAAUGCACCUAGAAGUGGAAAUGGUGAAGAUGGUGUUGAGUGUUUUGCUCUUCUCUGGGCCUCACUUUCCUUAUCUGGGCAAUGGGAUCAUAAUCCCUGUUCUACCUGCCUCACAGGACUGUUUGAGUGAUCAGAGGUGAAACAGAAGCAGAAAGAACUGGACAUUGGAACUAAAUACGGGUUCUAACCCUGGCACUGAAUCUCACUUGGCCUUGGGCAGGCCACAACCUCUCUGAGGUUCAUUUUCCUCAUUGUAAAUCUCUCCCAGCCCUGCCACUUGUGGUUGGCAGGAGGGUCAGGUGAAGUCAUGGAUUUCAGAGGCUUAUUGUUUAAACCAGCAAGGCUCCAGCUGGGAGUUUCCUGUUUAAUAGAGGGAAAGGUUGAGAAACAAAAGAGACUCACUUGGAAAGUGAAAUAGAAUGUUGUAAACAAUUCCAGAUGGAGGAGGAGGCUGUUACUCCCCAGACACUGAAGGAGGGGGGAUCCCAACCACCAAGAAGCCUUCCGGAAGAGUGGUGCCAGCUGGAAGGGUGGGUCUACAUGCAACUGGGAGACUGAUAAGUGAAGCUUUCAGUGGGAAAGUCCCAGGCCUGUCCUGGAGGGUUAGUGUGAGUCAGCCUGAAUAGCUGGGCUUCAGGGAUGCAGCUAGAAUGUGAGGAGGUAGGAAAGAAAGGCCAUAAAGGGGCCACAGAGAUUUCCAGUGUCAGCUCAAGAACCACCACCAGGGCAAUGGUCAAAAUGCGUAUUCGCAGGCAAUGGCCCUUUGAUUCUGACCCAGGAAUCUAUAUUUUCACCAGGCCUCUCUCUUGGUGAUGUGCGGGCAGCAUAUCUUAGGGCCACAUUUUGGGAACUGUUUCCUGAGUGGUUUCCAGUUUGGGAUUUUGAAGGGCAAGUACUAAAGCCAUGAGUUCUAAUCCUGGCUCUGCCACUUUCUGAUCGUGAGGUCAUCAGCAAAAUACCCCACAUCCUAAGCCUCUGUUUUUGCAUCUGUAAAGUGAAAGUACCUCACCUGUCUCGCUGAUGAGUCUGAGUGGGUCCCAUUCAGCCUUCCUCUCCUCUCUUCUUCCUUCCCCAUUCUUUUUCCUUUCUUCUCUCCAUUCCUCCCUCCCUUUUCUCCCUCACUGCUGUCUUGCCUCCCUCCUCAGAGCUGCAGUACAAACUCGUCUUAUCACCCUGGCUCUGGGCAGGGAAGACCAAGCUGCUGGAGUUCAGGCAAGGUCAGGCUCCAUUCCGGGGACAAUGCUGAGGCAUGACCUCUCCUCCCCCACUUCUUCCCUCCACCCCAGUCUGCGUCAUCAUCGUCGUCUGGGACUGCUGCACACAGCACUCCUCCAGCGGUCAAGGCAGAAGGAAAAUGUCAAUCCCAGCCCCAGAAUUCAUCCUUUUCCACUCUGGGCCCCAGAAACUACUUGUAGUAGUGCCUCUCUGUCAGAGUGAAGGAGCCAACAAGGGACCUUGGACAAGCUUACUGCUUUCCUCUGAGCCUCAUUUUCAUCAUCUAUCAGCCAGGCAAGAAAUCCCUCCAAUUCCCCAGCCCCAGGAGAUCCAGAUGGACAUGGGACAGUUUUGAAGAUAAAUAAAACCUCUAGCCUGUUCUUCUGA